ACGGAGACUCGUGCUUAAGCAAAUAAACAUAAUCCCCGAUCUACGCAUUCUUGUUUUCAAAACAAACUCAUAAUUAAUCAUGUUGUCUUUAAAUGUCUUUUGAAUUUAAGUUAUUUUUUUUACUCAGAAAAGGAGAAGUAGUUAUUUCCAGUUUAGAUUAUUGAAAAAACAGAGCCUACUAUUUUUUUUAUUAGUUGUCCCCCUACUUUAGUAGCCUGUUGUUUAACAGUUGUACGCCAGUAUCUGUGCAUACAUUAUCUGAUUUAUUACGAUAUGGGAAUUUAAUACGGACAACAAACACUUAAUAUGUCAAUCAUGACUAAAGAUGUUAAAUUAAUUUUCAUAAUCUUAAAAAAAAAAAAACACACGAAGAAACCAAAACAACCACAACUACCGACAGUUACAAUAACACUUAAACUGCCAAUCAGGACUAAAGGUGUAAGAUUAUUUUCUUGCAUAUUCUUCACAAAAAAAGAGAGAAGUUUUUAAAUCUCUUUACAUUGGGUCAUUUGGGGAAAAGAGGGUAUAUAAACAGAGAGACUCUGUUUUGCUUCAAAUCACACGCUGUAUUUCACCCUCAAGAUCUACACAGGUGUAAUUGUAAAAUAUCCAGUUUAACUGUGUAGAAACAUUAUACAGAGAAAUAUAGGGGGAAACAUAGUAGCUGAACCAUCCUUAAAGCACUGUAAAUUGUACACUUGUUUGGGAAAAAUACUGAGAGGUAUUUCAUGUAGUGGAAAUAUACACCGUGAUCUGUUAGACAACAAGCGGGUCGAUGACGAAGAACACACCUAUCUCACACUGAUCGCAGGGGAAUUCCCGUGACGAGUUCCGGUUUGUGUACGACAUAAAUAUGAAUAGUUUUAUUUACGUAUUUAGAAUUUAAAUCAACGUCUCUUUGACAGAAUGGCUAUAAAGUGCAGAAUUCUUCCUAUGUGUGUUUUAUCUAUCUACGGUAAGUUAAACCUGCUGAUUUUAAUUGCACAUUAUUAAUCAAUCUCUAUAUAUAGUGAGUUAAAUAUGCUUAUUAUAAUUACAAGCAAUUAAUUGAUCUCUAUCUACAUAGUAAGUUAAAUAUGUUUAGUAUAAUUACACAUUAUUAAUUAAUCUCUAUCUAUAAUAAGUUAAAUAUGUUUAUUAUAAUUACAUAUUAUUUAUUAAUAUCUAUCUACAUAGUAAGUUAAAUAUGUUUAUUAUAAUUACACAUUAUUAAUUAAUCUAAAAAGACUUUAUUGCGUACUUAGUUAAAGGAACCAGCGUUCUCCACCGUGGGCUUCACCACGGAGACUCGUUCUGAUUAACCUAAUUGUAGGUAAAGGAAUCCCGCCAUUGUCAUCAUUGACAGUUUUAUUUACGUGAUAUUCAAAUUUUAGAAUAAAUGUGACUCAAGGAUUGCAUAAAAAGUAGCUGACUUUUCUUGUUUGUAUUGUUUAUAUUGCGUAAUAAAACCCAAACAUGCUGGAUUUUAUACAGGAAGGUCUCCACAGGUAAACUAAAGAAGCCGGUGUACGUGCAUUACACGCAAGUCUGUAUGAUAAAAGAUUUCACACCUCCAUGUAGUAAACAUGUCUGUAUGAUAAACAAAAGAUUUCACACCUCCAUGUAGUAAGCAAGUCUGCAUGAUAAACAAAAGGUUUCACACCUCCAUAUAGUAAGCAUGUAUGUAUGAUAAACAGAAGAUUUCACACCUCCAUGUAGUAAGCAAGUCUGUAUGAUAAACAAAAGAUUGCACACCUCCAUGUAGUAAGCAUCUCUGUAUGAUAAACAAAAGAUUUCACACCUCCAUGUAGUAAACAUGUAUGUAUGAUAAACAAAAGAUUUCACACCUCCAUGUAGUAAACAAUUCGCAGUGUCUAAUGCCUUCUUUAUCAUGGACUUGACCAAUGUGGAUUUAAACAAACACGGACAAUAUCUAAUGUUUUCUAUAUUGUAGAUAUAACCAAUAUUGAUUUAAACAAACACGGACAAUAUCUAAUGUUUUGUAUAUUGUAGAUACAACCAAUAUUGAUUUAAACAAACACGGACAAUAUCUAAUGUUUUCUACAUUGUAAAUAUAACCAAUAUGGAUUUAAACGAACACGGGCAAUAUCUAAUGUUUUCUAUAUUGUAAAUAUAACCAAUAUGGAUUUAAACAAACACGGACAAUAUCUAAUGUUUUCUAUAUUGUAGAUAUAACCAAUAUUGAUUUAAACAAACACGUACAAUAUCUAAUGUUUUCUGAUAUUUUGACUGAAUUAGUUAGAGCUAGCCAUAAUAUAGUUUUCUUUAUUCACCAUUCGUGUUUACCAGCGAGUAAUUGCUUUAUUACAUUCAUCAUUCGUGUUUACCAGCGAGUAAUUGCUUUAUUACAUUCAUCAUUAGUGUUUACCAGCGAGUAAUUGCUUUAUUACAUUCAUCAUUAGUGUUUUCCAGCGAGUAAUUGCUUUAAUACAUUCAUUAUUAGUGUUUAACAGCGAGUAAUUGCUUUAUUACAUUCAUCAUUAGUGUUUUCCAGCGAGUAAUUGUUUUAUUACAUUCAUCAUUAGUGUUUUCCAGCGAGUAAUUGCUUUAUUACAUUCAUCAUUAGUGUUUAACAGCGACAAGUAAUUGCUUUAUUACAUUCAUCAGUAGGUUUGCUCAGUGUUAAUGCUGUUAUAGGAGCUGUUGUGAAUUCUACUGGGAUCACAAACAGUACCACCAACAAUGGAACUACCCCAGCUGUCAUCAACGACGGCGGCAACGAUGAUGGGUCUCCGUCCACGGGCAUGACGGUAUUUUACGUGUUUCUGGGGAUUUUUGGGGGUGUUUUCGUACUGGUAUUCAUGUGCUUUUGCUGCACUCUUCUGUGUAAACAGUGUGGACAUUGUGAAGACACGGAAGUCAACAUGACAUGUGAGUGCUGCGGUGCCACGGUUUGGCAGAAGUCAUAUUAAUUAAAAUUCGCCAGUGUGUGACAAAAGUCAUAUCAACCUACACCAGUGUGUGACAAAAGUCAUAUCAACAUUCAUCAGUGUGUGCAUGUGAUAAAAGCCAUAUUAACGUACGCCAGAGUGCGAAAAGUCGUAUUAUAUUACAUGAGUGAAAUUAUCAAUUCAUUACACUACACUUGUAUGAAUGAAGGUAUUAUCAUAAUAGAGUUCAUUAGUGUGCAACAGACGCGGAAGUCAUAUUAGAUGACACCGGUAAAGAAACAAUCCCUAGUACUUCCCUUCAUAUUCACAUUGUAGUAGAACUCUCUCAAGUAGGUAUAGAUCAUUUGGCAGUGCACCAUAUUCAUCAAAGGAAAUGAUAGCACUUGAACUAUACUAUAAAACUGGACAAUGGUUAAGCGUUACAAUGACACUAACUUAACAUAAAGCAAAAUUAAAUUCAUGCACGAGAGGCCCAUGGGCUACAACGCUCACAUGAAUCACCCUUGGCCCUGUUAUACAUGGGAAGAAGAUUUUUAUAAAGAUAUUUACAUUCUUUAACCCCAGUAGAAAUUUUGGCCCAGUGUUUUUGAGAUCUUUAUAUGUUACAUUCUACAUAUAUAUAUUUUCAUUGCUUUCAUCUUGAUUUAUUUACCUGGUAAAUACCUUUAUUCCUCUGCUCGUUUGUUAAAGGAUAUGUGAGCGAAUGUUUACUGCACUAAUUACGAUGUAAUAAUUACACGUUACUAUUUACGAUAGUAGUUACGACGUUGUAACGGGACUGUAUACGACACUGAUUACGAAAGUAUAUAAGAGUAUUUACAACACUAUUUACGACAUUGAACGUGAGUGCUUACAACACUAUUUACGACAUUGCAUGUGUGUGUUUAUGACAUUUUAAGUGAAAGUUUACGACACUAUUUACGACAUUGCAUGUGAGUAUUUACGACAUUUGGUUUUGAAAAUUUACGACACUAAUUACGACAUUACAGGCGAGUGUUUACGACAGUUUAAGUGACAGUUUAUGAUACUGAUUACGACUUUAACUGUGAUUAUUGUAGACAUCUUUUUAAUUAAAAUUUCAUCCGUCUCUUUGAUGCCUCAUCAUACGCUACAGGAGUCGUACUUACGAAUACGUCAUCAGAACACUUCAAUUACUUAACAUGCAAUCAGGACGAACGAUAGGGGCGAAGGAGAGGAUUGUAGUUUACUGUCUAUCUUAUGGAAACAAAGAAAGUAUUGAUUUCACAAUAGUAAGAUUAUCUUCACUAAAUAUCUCUCAAAAGUUCAAGAGCUUCAACUCAAGCAUGCAUCUAAUGACUCCGACAAACAUACUCUUUCUCUGUAAAUGCUAUUAGAAGAACAUCCUAGUGCAUCCCCAUUUUCAGAAAAUACUACUAUUCAAGAAAUCAUGCACGGUUUUAAAAGUACAUAUUACAAAUUUCCAAAUCCGUAAUUUGUAUUAUAUAUCACAGCAAUUAGACUUGAGAACUUGUAUAUUGUAAACUCUUGUGUUCGAAUGGAGGGAAAGGGUAUUUAUUUCUCUGUCAUUUAUCUAUUUAUAGAACAAAGUUUUUGAGGUAUCUAAUUUUCUGUUAUUUAUGUAUUUAUAGAACAAAGUUUUUGAGGUAUCUAAUUCUCUCUCAUUUAUGUAUUUAUAGAACAAAGUUUUUGAGGUAUCUAAAUUUCUGUCAUUUAUGUAUUUAUAGAACAAAGUUUUUGAGGUAUCUAAUUCUCUGUUGUUUAUGUAUUUAUGAAAUAAAGUUUUGAAAUUCA